AUGUUUUCGAGUGGACCAAAUUAUACCAAAUUAAAAACACAUUUACGUUUAACAAUAAAUCGGCUUAAAUUGCUUGAAAAAAAAAAAACUGAACUUGCCCAGAAAGCACGAAAAGAAAUAGCUGAUUAUCUUGCUGCAGGAAAAAUUGAAAGGGCAAAAAUACGCGUUGAACAUAUUAUUAGAGAAGAUUAUAUGGUUGAAGCAAUGGAAUUGCUUGAAAUGUAUUGUGAUCUUUUACUUGCACGUUUUGGACUUAUUCAACAAAUGAAAAAUUUAGAUGAAGGUUUAGCAGAGGCUAUUUCUACGAUAAUUUGGGCUGCUCCUAGAAUACAAACUGAUGUUCAAGAAAUUAAAGUAAUUGCUGAUAUCUUAACAUCAAAAUAUGGAAAACAAUAUACAGAAGCAUGUAGAGAAGAGGCAAUACAAACUAUUUCUGAAAAAUUGAAACAUAAAAUGAGUGUGCAAUCACCAUCUAAGCUUCUUGUAGAAAAAUAUCUUAUAGAAAUUGCAAAAAAUUAUAAUGUUGAAUAUGAACCAGAUCCACAGGUAAUGAUAGAAGGUCAAGAUGCUUUAUUAAUAGAUGUUGAAAAUAAUACAGAAAGAAACAAUUUAGACAUAGCUUCUGGAGGCAUAACUGUACCACAGCCAGUUGGAUUUAUUGGUUUUCCUCAACCUCCUUUAUUACCAAAUCCUGUAUUUAAUUUAAUUAAUUCAGAAAAAGGAACUAUAGGAUUUGUAACUCCAACAACUUUAGAAAGUAAAGAUCAAAAUGUUCCUUAUAAUCCAAGUAAUGUUUUGUACAACAUUCCUUUAGAUAAUUCUAAUGGAAACAAAUCUGAAAAUAAUCAACCUCUAUCAUAUGAAUCAUUUCCACCUGAUUUAAAUAAACAGUCUGACCAGAAACCAAAACCUCAACCGCGAUCGAAAAUGCCGAUGAAUGAUUUUCAGCUUCCAGAUUUACCAACUGUGCCAUCGGAAAAUAAUUUACCAUCAAAUAAUCCAUCUACUAGUGAAGAUAUUGAUUUUGAUGAUUUAAUGAAACGCUUUGAAGACUUAAAGAAAAGAAAGUAAUUUCUUAGUUGUUUUAAGAUGCAUUACAAAUAUAUAUAUAUUAUAAUACAACAACAAUAUAAUAUUCAAUUUCAUCAAUAUUAUAAAAAACUUAAUAAUUAAUAUAUAAUAGUCUCUCAAUCGUCCAAUUUGAUAAGAAAAAAUGAUUAAUUAAAAGAAUUGGAUAAUAAGAGAUUAAUUCAAUAAUUAAGGUAACAAUCAAUAAAUCGAGAGAUUUUAUUUCUUAGAUCAACAAAUAUAAAUAUAUCUGUAUAAAUCAAUAUAAAUUAUAAAUAAUCUUUAAAGUAUAAUAUAUGCAUUAUCCAAUAUAUAUUUAAAAAAUAAAUAUCAUAAAUAUAUAUUCAGUUGAAUUUUUAGGAAAAAUGUAAAUAAAAUAUGAUAACAAUACAAUUCAAUUAUAUUUCAAAAAUUAUUUUCAUAAGAAUAAAAUUUACUACAUAAUCAUUUUUUAUUUUAUAAUGAGAAGAUAAGAUAAAUGAGGGAUGAAUAUAGUUAUUCACAAAAAUAUGUAGAUAUAUUUUACUUCAACAAUCUAUAUUUAUGUCAAAUUAUUAUAUUAAUAUUACAAAAAAAAAUAAAAGGAAAUUUUAUUUCUUUCAAUAAAGUAUCAGAAAUGUAAAUAAUUUAAUUAAUUUAACAUAAUAAAAUAAUACUAAAAAGUAAAUAAAA